rnacentral:rRNA from 1 species
CAGCCGCCACGGUAAUACGAAGGGUGCAAGCGUUACUCGGAAUUACUGGGCGUAAAGCGUGCGUAGGUGGUGGUUUAAGUCCGUUGUGAAAGCCCUGGGCUCAACCUGGGAAUUGCAGUGGAUACUGGGUCACUAGAGUGUGGUAGAGGAUAGUGGAAUUUCCGAUGUAGCAGUGAAAUGCGUAGAGAUCGGAAGGAACAUCUGUGGCGAAGGCGACUAUCUGGGCCAACACUGACACUGAGGCACGAAAGCGUGGGGAGCAAACAGGAUUAGAUACCCCAGUAGUCCCUGUCUCUUAUAC